rnacentral:lncRNA from 1 species
CAGCAGGAGCAUGCAAUUGUCUUAUGGCAUUAAUUUAUAAGAUUAAUUAAUAAGAUUUCAGAGCCUUGCACACAUUCAAAAGAUGCCUGCAAUAAUUAUCCUUAUAUUUUUUUCAUUGAAUAAUUAUUCCAAACAUAGAAAGAAAUAACACCACCAAUUUUGUAUUGGUGCAUAAUUAUGGUAAAAUAGUGGGAUUUGUGGUGACAUAUUUAUACAUGCAUAACCAUAACUCGUCAAUUUCAUUCCUCAAUUCUCCUCCUUCUUUUCUCUCAGGCCUCUUCCACUGCUCUACUGGUUACCCUUCUAUGUCCAUUUUUUCCCCCACUUUUAUCUCUAACUUACACUUUUGAGAAAAAACAUGACCCUUUCUGAAUCUGUCUUAUUUAGCUUAACACAAUGUUCUUAAGUUCCAUCCAUUUUCCUACAAAUGACAUAAUUUUGUUCUUCUUUAUGAGUAAAUAAAACUCAAUUAUGUAUUUAUAUCACAUUUUCUUUUUUAUUGAUUUUUUUAAAUAAAUGAAAGCGGAAUGUAUUAUAAUUCUUAUUACACAGAUAGAGCACAGUUUUUCAUAUAUCUGGUUGUAUAUGAAGGAUGUUCACACCAAUUUGUGUCUUCAUACAUGUAAAAUUUGGAUAAUGAUGUCCAUCACAUUCCACCAUCCUUGCUAACCCCCUGCCCUCUCUCUACCCCUCUCACCCCUCUGCCCUAUCUAGAGUUUUUUUCCUCCCAUGCUCCCUCUCCCUAUUCCUCUAUGAGUCAGUCACCUUAUAUCAGAGAAAACUUCAGCACUUGGUUUUUUGGGAUUGGCUAACUUCACUUAGCAUUAUCUUCUCUUAACUUCAUCCAUUUACCUGCAAAUGCCAUGAUUUUAUUUUCUUUUAUUGCUGAGUAAUAUUCUAUUGUGUAUAUAUGCCACAUUUUUUAAUCCAUUAUCUACUGAAGGACAUCUAGGUUGGUUCCACAGUUUAGCUAUUGUGAAUUGUGCUGCUAUAAACAUUAAUGUGGCUGUGUCUCUGUAGCAUCACAUUUUCUUUAUCCACUCAUCUGUUCAUAAACACCUAGGCUGCUUCCAUAAUUUGGCUAUUAAGAAUUAACUGUUAUAAGCAUAGUAUUGUGUAUUGCUAUAGUAUGCUGACAUGAAUACUUUGGGAUGAAUGCCAAGGAGUGGUUUAGCUGGGUCAUAUAUUGGUUCCAUUCUUAAUCUUUUUGUGUGUCUGUGUGGUGCUGGGGAUUGAACCAUGGCCUUGUGCAUGAGAGGCAAGCACUCUUCCAACUGAACUAUAUCCCCAGCCUUGUCUUUUGAAUUAGCCUCAUAUUUUGAAAGUUUUGAUUGUCUUGACAGUGCACAUGAAUUUACAGAUAACUGACACAUUCAUUCUUCUUAAACUAUCAUUAUUUCCACUCAGGUCAAUGUGAACUCUAUGUUGCAAUGACUGAUUAUAACCUAAGGGUGCUGGAUAAAGAAUUUCCAAUGCUCACAAAGAGAACAAAUCUGGGUUUAAUUUGACUUAUUC